GAGAGAGAGAGAGAGAGAGAGAGAGAGAGAGAGAGAAGAGAUGGAGAUGGUCGAGAGAGGAGAAGAUGCGACGGCCGGUACUAUCCUUUCUCACACCCUUGAUUGAACCUCGUUAGGCGUCAGAGAAGGUGAACGGGUCUGAUAGAGAUGUGUCGGAGAAGACAUGGGAAGAGGCUCCGCGGGUCGCCCAGAACCUCGUUAGGCGUCAGAGAAGGUGAACGGGUCUGAUAGAGAUGUGUCGGAGAAGACAUGGGAAGAGGCUCGUCGGUUCGCCUGUCUAUAUCUCUCUCUCUCUGU
rnacentral:lncRNA from 1 species